UUCGCCCUUAGAGUUUGAUCCUGGCUCAGGACGAACGCUGGCGGCGUGCCUAACACAUGCAAGUCGAACGGGGUUGGUGAGGAGCUUGCUUUUUGCUGACCUAGUGGCGGACGGGUGAGUAACGCGUGAGGAACCAGCCUUUCAGAGGGGGAUAACAAUCUGAAAAGAUUGCUAAUACCGCAUAACAUAUUUUCAUCGCAUGGUGGGAAUAUCAAAGGAGCAAUCCGCUGAGAGAUGGCCUCGCGUCCGAUUAACUGGUUGGCGGGGUAACGGCCCACCAAGGUGACGAUCGGUAGCCGGACUGAGAGGUUGAACGGCCACAUUGGGACUGAGACACGGCCUAGACUCCUACGGGAGGCAGCAGUGGGGGAUAUUGCACAAUGGGGGGAACCCUGAUGCAGCAACGCCGCGUGUGGGAAGAAGGUUUUCGGAUUGUAAACCACUGUUCUUGGUGAAGAAGAAUGACGGUAGCCAAGGAGAAAGCUCCGGCUAACUACGUGCCAGCAGCCGCGGUAAUACGUAGGGAGCGAGCGUUGUCCGGAUUUACUGGGUGUAAAGGGUGCGUAGGCGGCUGUGUAAGUCGGGCGUGAAAGGCACAGGCUCAACCUGUGGACUGCGCUCGAAACUGUACAGCUUGAGUGAAGUAGAGGCAGGCGGAAUUCCCGGUGUAGCGGUGAAAUGCGUAGAGAUCGGGAGGAACACCAGUGGCGAAGGCGGCCUGCUGGGCUUUAACUGACGCUGAGGCACGAAAGCGUGGGUAGCAAACAGGAUUAGAUACCCUGGUAGUCCAUGCCGUAAACGAUGAUUACUAGGUGUGGGGGGGACUGACCCCCCUCCGUGCCCGGAGUUAACACAAUAAGUAAUCCACCCGGGGAGUGCGGCCGCAAGGCUGUUACUCAAAGGAAUUGACGGGGGCCCGCACAAGCAGUGGAGUAUGUGGUUUAAUGCGAAGCAACGCGAAGAACCUUACCAGGUCUUGACAUCCAGCGAACGAGGCAGAGAUGCGUUAGGUGCCCUUCGGGGAAUGCUGAGACAGGUGGUGCAUGGUUGUCGUCAGCUCGUGUCGUGAGAUGUUGGGUUAAGUCCCGCAACGAGCGCAACCCUUGUAUUUAGUUACUACGAAAGAGGACUCUAGAUAGACUGCCGUUGACAAAACGGAGGAAGGUGGGGACGACGUCAAAUCAUCAUGCCCCUUAUGACCUGGGCUACACACGUACUACAAUGGCCGCCAACAAAGAGAAGCGAGGCAGCGAUGCGGAGCAAAACUCAAAAAGCGGUCCCAGUUCGGAUUGCAGGCUGAAACCCGCCUGCAUGAAGUUGGAAUUGCUAGUAAUCGCGGAUCAGCAUGCCGCGGUGAAUACGAUACCGGGCCUUGCACACACCGCCCGUCA
rnacentral:rRNA from 1 species